GAUGAACGCUGGCGGCGUGCCUAAUACAUGCAAGUCGAGCGAACGGACGAGAAGCUUGCUUCUCUGAUGUUAGCGGCGGACGGGUGAGUAACACGUGGAUAACCUACCUAUAAGACUGGGAUAACUUCGGGAAACCGUAGCUAAUACCGGAUAAUAUUUUGAACCGCAUGGUUCAAAAGUGAAAGACGGUCUUGCUGUCACUUAUAGAUGGAUCCGUGCUGCAUUAGCUAGUUGGUAAGGUAACGGCUUACAAAGGCAACGAUGCAUAGCCGACCUGAGAGGGUGAUCGGCCACGCUGGAACUGAGACACGGUCCAGACUCCUACGGGAGGCAGCAGUAGGGAAUCUUCCGCAAUGGGCGAAAGCCUGACGGAGCAACGCCGCGUGAGUGAUGAAGGUCUUCGGAUCGUAAAACUCUGUUAUUAGGGAAGAACAUAUGUGUAAGUAACUGUGCACAUCUUGACGGUACCUAAUCAGAAAGCCACGGCUAACUACGUG
rnacentral:rRNA from 1 species